ACUCCUACGGGAGGCAUCAGUGGGGAAUAUUGGACAAUGGGCGAAAGCCUGAUCCAGCCAUGCCGCGUGUGUGAAGAAGGUCUUCGGAUUGUAAAGCACUUUAAGUUGGGAGGAAGGGCAGUAAGUUAAUACCUUGCUGUUUUGACGUUACCAACAGAAUAAGCACCGGCUAACUUCGUGCCAGCAGCCGCGGGAAU
rnacentral:rRNA from 1 species